GAUUCCACGUUAUUGCUGUUUAAUUUCAAGGUUUAAUUGGUAGGAAUCAUAGAAACCCCUAUUGUGAGGUUUAGAGAUGAGUUCUUGAUACUAGGCUUGAUUUCCUUCGGAUGUUCCAAAAACUAGUUGAACCAAUAAGUUUUGAUUGUUAUUCUUACCUUUGGAGAUUGGUUUGUGAAGUUUGAGGUUGGUGUUAAGAGCUAUUGGUGAGUUCUAGGUUGAAAACGAGUUCUAGGUUAGAAUUUGCUGGAAAAUCACUGAACCAAGACAGAUUACAGUCCUAACUUCGGAUGAGCAUAUCUUUGUUGUCCGGACUCCGAUUUGGACAAAUUUUAUAUCAAAAUUGAAGCCCCGAAAGUCUACUUUCUAAUGGUGGUGGUCCUAGCAUCUAAUUCCAAUCCUAUCAAAUACUAUGACCAAAAUACUGCAGACUGGUUCUAGGACUCUAUAUCGAUUUGGGGUUUUGUUAUGUUCUGACUUCACCAUUAGAUUAAGACUUUAACCUUACCUUAGACCUUUUGUUAAGAUACCAGGGAGAUCUAAUGAAAGUAUGUAGAAGUUUAAAUGUGCUUCAUUGAAUCUUAAUUAUAAUUACGUUAUAUGUUUAUGUGGGGAACGUGGUUUAGAAGCUCGGAUUUGAGGAAUUGAAGAAUAGGUGAUGUGGUUUCCUUUCGUUUGGACUCGGGCAUAUAUGAGAGCCAAUAUCUAUGUUAUCUGCAGGGAAGUUGUAUUCAAGUUAUCAUGUUUUUGAUGUUCUUGUAAAAGUUAGAGACAUUUGUAAAGUUUCAGGUUAUGCACAGCUCUGAGGUGUAACUAGGAGUUAUAAUUCUUUUGUAAAUAUAAGUUGUUGCCACAUUGGACUUUAUAGGAUAAGCUUCCGUUGGUUAA